AGCCACCAUAUUUUUCCUUACUAUUUCAUGAUUUAUUUUUCUAGCAUGCGAAGAACAUAAAAAAAGUUAACAUUCAAGGCAUGAGUGCCAUUAUGGAGAAAAUAUUUAAGCAAAGACAGAUGUUAUUGGAUGCCAAAUAUCAAAAUUGUGACACCACUCAAACCCAAAUUCGACAUUUUGAAGAAGUUAUCCCGCACAACUACAAAUCCGUUAGGAAAAAAGGCACAAAAAUACUGUGUCCAUAGUUACGUUACGUGAUGUCAUUCACGUUUUGCUGUUUAAUUUGUUGACUGCAAAUUGGGAGUGAAGCUUUUAGGUGAUGGCCACAACGUACUUUUCGUCGCCAAAAAUGAACUGCUUGGGUCUGUUAUGUAAUCUAUUACUAUUAUCAUCGAUGCAUAUGCUUUAGGUUCUAAGCAGUUUGUGGAAUUAUAAGUGAUGCGUAAAAAAAUGUGCGACACCAAGUAUCGAUAGUUAAAGAUUAUAUAACAAUAAUUGUAGUUUGCUUUGUAGUUCUUCUAUUUCAAAUUAUGUAC